rnacentral:misc_RNA from 1 species
GUGAAUCAUCAAAUUUUUGAACGCAAAUUGCACUCUCUUCGGAGAGGAUGAGUGUUUGAGGGUCAGCCUAAAAAAAAAUCGACAAAGUUGCUGUUUUGCGGUGACAUUAGUCGGAAAUUGGGUUAUUUUAAACUUUUGGGAUUUAAGCGGCUUACAAUUUUCUUUACGAUUCCACGAACGUUUCUAAGAUUCAUUUCUUAUACGUUUAAGGUAUCGCUUUUUAUUAGACGUGGAAGUUGCAACGGAUU